AUGGUGAUCUGUCACCAGUGUCCAAAUCAAGAUGACUCUUUAGAAGAAGUCACAAAGAAAUUCUAUUACCCCCCCCCCUCCAGAAGUUGGCAAGUCAGAGUCUACUGAGGGAUGAGGCCUUGGCCGUUUCUGCUCUCAAGGACCUGCCCAAUAGGCUGUACCCAGUAAUUUUUGAGGAGGCCUUCACUGAUGGACAUACAAAGAUCUUGAAGGCCAGGAUACUUGUGUGGCCCUUCCCAUACCUUUCUUUAGGAAUGCUGAUAAAGAAAUGCAACCUGGAGACUUUGAAGGCUUGGGGGACUAGAUACACUGCUUGCACAAAAGGUUCGAACCAGUAGAUGCAAACUCAGAGCGCUCAAUUGGAGGGAUAAAGAACAUGACUUGUGGGGGCUAUAGACUGGAUCCCAUGAAGGUAAAGACUUACCAGAGUUCACAACACAGAAGCAGCUAGUAGAAAACAGUCCUGACUGUGAGGUGAAGAAAGAAUUGAAGGUGCCCAAAGAAGCCCUUGGAGACGCUUUGCAUCACUAACUGUGACCUCUCACAGUCAAACUUGGAUUACCUGACCUAUUGCCUAAAUAUCUGUGAGCUCAAUCAUCUGCAACUUAGUCAUGGAGUCAUGUUGUUUAGAGGACUCUCAGCUCAAUGCCCUGCUGCCUGCCCUAAGCGAGUGUUCUCAGCUCAGAGAAGUUGAUUUCUAUGAUAAUAAUGUCUCUCUGCCUCUCCUGGAACAACUUCUACACCACACAGCCAAGCUGAGCCACCUGACCCAUGAGUGACACCCAGUUCCUCUGAAGUGCUAUGAUGACAGUGGUGUGAUAAUAACAUACAGAUUAGAAACGUUUUGUCCUGAGCUCCUGGAUAUAUUCAGGGCCAAAAGACAGCCCAAAAGUGUCACCUUUGAAGAAACCCAAUGCUCUAAGUGUGGUGGGUCCUCCAUUUAUGAUCUGGAGAUCCAAUGCUGCUUU
rnacentral:lncRNA from 1 species